CGGAUUGUAAAGCACUUUAAGUUGGGAGGAAGGGCAGUAAAUUAAUACUUUGCUGUUUUGACGUUACCGACAGAAUAAGCACCGGCUAACUCUGUGCCAGCAGCCGCGGUAAUACAGAGGGUGCAAGCGUUAAUCGGAAUUACUGGGCGUAAAGCGCGCGUAGGUGGUUAGUUAAGUUGGAUGUGAAAUCCCCGGGCUCAACCUGGGAACUGCAUUCAAAACUGACUGACUAGAGUAUGGUAGAGGGUGGUGGAAUUUCCUGUGUAGCGGUGAAAUGCGUAGAUAUAGGAAGGAACACCAGUGGCGAAGGCGACCACCUGGACUGAUACUGACACUGAGGUGCGAAAGCGUGGGGAGCAAACAGGAUUAGAUAC
rnacentral:rRNA from 1 species